AUGGCAGUGUCACUGAGACUGCCCUCUCUAACGCUAACGAACCUGUUCUCCUCACCGUCUUCUCUUCCCAUUCUACGACGCCGCCGCCCCCAUGGCACUCUUCUCCGGCCGCCUCCUCUCGCUGCUAGCUUCUCCUCCCAGAGAGCAGAGGCUGCGUCAGCUCAGACCCAGGAUAAGUCGAAGAGCAGCAAAGGAAGCGACCAAGUAAUAACGCCAAGGUCACAGGACUUCAACGCUUGGUACCUCGACCUUAUAGCCAACGCCGAGCUCGCCGAUUACGGUCCUGUUCGUGGCACCAUGGUCAUUCGUCCCUAUGGUUACGCUAUUUGGGAAUCCAUUCAGGACUAUUUGAAUGUGAAGUUCAAGGAAACAGGGCAUAGUAACAUGUACUUUCCGCAGUUUAUUCCAUACUCAUUUAUAGAGAAAGAAGCAAGUCAUGUGGAGGGCUUCAGUCCCGAGUUGGCAUUGGUGACAAUUGGAGGUGGAAAGGAACUUGAAGAGAAGCUCGUGGUUCGACCCACAAGUGAAACCAUUGUCAAUCACAUGUUUACCAAAUGGAUCCAAAGUUAUCGUGAUCUCCCUCUCUUGAUUAAUCAGUGGGCAAAUGUCACAAGAUGGGAGAUGCGCACAAAACCAUUUGUUAGGACUCUUGAGUUUCUUUGGCAAGAGGGCCACACUGCUCAUGCAACUCCUGAAGAGGCAGAAAAUGAGGCUAUACAGAUGAUUGACAUCUAUACCAAAUUUGCUUAUGAGCAAGCUGCAAUACCUGUUAUUGCAGGUCGAAAAUCUAAAGUAGAAACAUUCGCUGGAGCUAAUAAGACCUAUACAAUUGAGGCCAUGAUGGGUGACAGGAAAGCAUUGCAAGCCGGAACCAGCCACAACCUUGGCCAGAACUUUUCUCGUGCCUUUGGAACACAGUUUUUAGAUGAGACUGGACAAAUGCAGCAUGUUUGGCAGACAUCAUGGGCAAUUAGUACACGUUUUGUUGGAGGCAUAAUCAUGACCCAUGGAGAUGAUGCCGGCCUAAUGCUUCCACCAAAGCUUGCUCCGAUACAGGUGGUAAUUGUACCUAUUUGGAAGAAGGAUGAAGAGAAAGUGGCUGUUCUAAAUGCAGCAUCUUCUGUAAAAGAAGUUCUUCAUACGGCAGGUAUUAAAGUUAAACUAGAUGACUCAGAGCAAAGAACUCCUGGAUGGAAAUUCAAUUUCUGGGAAAUGAAGGGUGUUCCUCUUAGAAUUGAAAUUGGUCCUCGUGAUGUGUCUAGUGAGAGUGUGGUGAUAUCCAGGAGAGAUGUUCCUGGGAAGCAGGGGAAAGUGUUUGGAAUCUCUAUGGAGCCUUCUAUUUUGGUGGCUUUUGUGAAAGACAAGUUGUAUGAAAUACAGUCCUCUCUUUUGGAGAGGGCCAUAGCAUUUCGUGACAGCAAUAUUGUAGAUGUGAACUCAUAUGAUGAUCUUAAAGUAGCAAUAUCACAAGGCAAAUGGGCUAGGGGUCCUUGGUCUGCUACCAAUGAACAUGAGCUAAAAGUAAAGGAGGAAACAGGAGCAACCAUUAGGUGCUUCCCUUUUGAACAACCCGAAGGGAUCAAAAAAUGCUUCAUGACUGGAGAUCCUGCCGAAGAAGUAGCAAUUUUUGCCAAAUCUUACUAAUUCCCAAGUAUAUUAUCCUGCAGAUGGGGCUUGUAGUCAAAUUCUUGGUUUGAAUCAUACAUUUUUUGAUAAAAACAGAUGUAGCUGUAAUGACUAUGGAUACACAGAUGAAUAGCAUGCUCAGGCUGGCCCUUGAGAAGUAUAGGAAUUUGAGGCUUCAAUUUGAAGCUGCAAGCGCGAGAUGUCAAAGGCUGUGCCUGAAACACUCAUGAGGAGGUCUACCAUGGUGAGAUCAACGCACUUCUUGAAGGCGCAUACAAGAACUCAUGGAGCUUUGCCCCCUUCGGUAUUGGCCUUAAAGAGUAGCCAUCGAAUUAUGGAGAUGAAAGGUGCAAUUCCACUUUCUCCACUCACCAUCACUACCAUUUCAUACUUGCAUCAAACAUUAUAUAUGUCAAUCCAUGAGUUGUAAACUGUGGAGGCUCCUUUAACUAGUUACCAUACCUUGAGAAAGGUUGAUGAGUCCCGUCCAUAUGACCCUUCGACAAAGAUGUUAAGGUGGGACGGUGGAGAUGAACAUGAUAGCUUCUGAUACAAAGAAUGAGACCAGUUUCCUGAACUUUUGAUGAGAAUGCUUAGGGUAUCAUGUUCAGUGUCGCAGCAAGAGGUGUUGGAAAAAGGAUGCCAUUUCAACUUGGAAAUAUUAACAACAUUUAUGUAAAUGACACUUGUAGGAGUAUAGCACAAUCCUAUUGCAGCAACAUGAGAGGAAAUUGAAAUAAAUACUAUGUUGCUUGAAAUGGAGACAAAAUUCAGAUAUAGAACUUGUCAUUCAUCUGGAUUCUUGGAGAAAUUCAGUUCAAUAGUUUCACAAGAUGCGAUGCGAGCAGAAACCAGCUAAAUUU